CAAACAUCUUUAAAAUCAAGUAAAACAACCAAGCAUAUUAAAUGGAGAAUAUAGAUCUACAUGUUUUGCCCUUUUUCUCCCAGAUGCGAGGUCAGCUGUUUCCAAGACCUAGCUCUCUGUAAUGAACUUGUGGCUGCAUUUAGGCAAACACUACAGCUGUCAGGUAAACCUUGCCUAAACACUCCUGCAUGGAAUAUGAAAGUUGAGACCUUCUGCUGUGGAGUAUAGAUGACCCCUUGCUACUUUAUGGUUUUUAUUUCUUUUUAAUUCUGUUUGGCUUCAUCCAGAACUCAAACCACUGGAAUGCACAACAGCAACACCAAUGUCAAGUGAAAAGAGCAACAGCCUUCUGGAUAUCCUGUUACAUCAGCCUCAAUGUCAAAGCUUCCCAGCAUGAACAUUGCCCCUUUCCUCAGUCCAGCAUUAGAUGUCUCCUGUUUCAAUAUCUACUAUUCUCUGACCUUUGUUUUCAGGGAGUCCAGCAACAGCUCAAAGCAAUAAAUUGACGGGGAGGUUGUUGAAACUGCUGCUGUUUUGGGGCUAUGUGGCCCGGCCCUUCCCUGACACUGUCAUUCCCACUCUCUUCCAACAGGACUUCCAACAGCAACAAAGGAUCACUCAACCCUGCUCGCAUCAUUUUCCGAGUCACAUAUUUCUGAUCCAGUAGUAGCUGGAAGGAGAUUCCUAAAAUGAUGGGACGUUUCAUGAUGUGAAAAUCAACAGUCCUGCAAUGGCAUCAAACAUAUUUCUUAUACAUCACCACAGAACUGGAGAAGACUUGGGAAGUCCUUAUUCCACCUCAAGCCACUUUCACAGUAUUGCAUUGUUAGCUAAAGCUCAGGGUCAGGGUCCCACAUGCGAACACUUCACAAACAUUAAAUAAUUAGUGCAAGAGAGAAUAUCAGUUAUAUUCUCAGCAGGCAUGAAAACAAACCUUCUGGACUGGUCUGAUCAAAAGUUAUAGAGUUGCUUAACAGAAAGCCCACGAAGCAUGGCUACUCAAUUAACUUUUAUCUAGAUCCCCUUCUGCUCCACUGAAAGCAGAAUGACAGGUCCUGCAUUUGCUGGAAAUCAUGGUGGUAUGCUUCAAUUGCUCCUCAUCUAAGGUUCAGCUCACCAUCACAGGAAAGUGGAAAGAUGGUAUGAAAGGCAAACUGCCCUGCUGGGAUGUGGGGGGCUUCUUGUGCCUGGGAUCUUGGCAUAAUCAAGGCAAAACGUACUCAUGGUCCAGAUCUAGUCUAGAAUUUGCCAUUUGAAUAAUUCUGUUAUGAAGCAUCUAAUUAAAGAGCUGAGUGUACAGAAUGGCAGGAACUGGGAGACACUCACAGACAUGAGUAGGAACGUAGAAGUUCCUGUAAGAAAUGUGGGCUGGAGAGCAAAGACUUCAGCCUUGAGGGACUCCAGAAAACAUACAGGAGGAUAUGCUGCAGAAGCCUCAUUACCCUUGAUUAGUGCUGUGGAAGAAAGACUGCAAACAUGCUUUCCAGCAUUCCCUCCAUCACUCUGAAGGGACACAUAAACAAAGAGACACAGAAUACCAUGUUCUGAAUAGCCCUGCCUCGGAGCAACUUCUGCAGACAGAUCACUGCCAGUUCUCUUUCCUCUUCCUCCUGCCAAAACACAACAAAUAUCCACACAGUAACUAAUCAUUUCUUUGGAGAUUGAGAUUUCUAUAGAUUAUCCAUCUGACUAUCAAAAAGUCUAACUUAUAUCCAGCUUUUUCUCAGUUGUUUCUGAACACCAAUCUUCUAAUUUCUACGAAAAGGAAGGUGGUGAAGAUUAAGUUUUCCUGCCUUUCCCCCCACCACCCAGGAGGAACAAAACAGAACUAUGGACUGCCAUACGAUUUGGUAUGUUCUUUUUCACUGGAAAGAAGGGAUAAAUUUCCAGUCUUAGAGAGCUAAAUAGUACCACAUCACCUGGCUACAGUGUGAAAUCCCUGCAGGACAGAGUUUUGGAAACAGAGAUGGCAAUAUACUGGACAGGUAGUAGGUUCAGAGUCAUGGUAUAGCCUGGUUGGAUUGGACAGCGAAGGACCACCCAAUUCACCUCCUUUUCCUGUGAAGACAGUGAGAUCAUCAAGGACGGACUGACUACCUACUUUGCAAUGCAGCAUGGCUGCUGCAUCUCAGAUGAUCAACACUGACACAAUAGCUCUUAGAGCUUUGUCU